rnacentral:lncRNA from 1 species
CAUGGGACAGGGACCCUCCCUAUAGAGGGAUCACAGCUGUUUGUCAAAUGGGGAAGUGGGUGUUUGACAGAAAAAAACAGUACAUGGUCACUGCAUUCCUUCCAUUAGUUACUCAACUUUCUUAACACACAUACAACCUUCUGAUACAUAAUUACAAAAUGUUAUCACCUAAUAUAAAGCAACUGUUUACUAAUCCUGUUAUUAAAGAGUAGGUAUUAUUAGCAGACAUAAAACCAAUUGAUCAGUGGUAUUAGGCUUUAAAGUCUCAUCCAAAUCAUAGAUAUCCUCCUAUAGAGAGCCUACCCCCUGCCCAAAUGCUGAAAUCAGAAAUUGAUUUGUAUAUAGUGUCUACCUACCUAUGUGUGAUAGACGGCUGGGCUCGUAUUCUCUUCAAAAUUUAUUUUCCUCUUCUUUCAUUGGAAUUGAUUUCUUACUGGGCUCAUGACCACCUGUCUAGAGACUACAUUUUCCACUCUGCCUUGUGGGUGUGUUUGGCCCCCUGAUUUUGUUUUAGCAUGGAGUAUAAGGGGGGACAAUAUGCACAUUUUCCACAUUACUUGCUUAAAAGAAAAUUGCUUGCCCAACAUUGCCUCUUUUCCAUUCAUGUGACUUACCACACAGACAUGGUGGUGACAGUGUUCAAGGUGCAGAGCAGCAGGACGGAAGGAAACCAGGUCCCUGCAUCACUUCACAGACAGCUGCCUUCUCAGCCUUGGUUGCUCCAUUACAUAUUUAAAUCAGAGGCAAAUAAACUUCUACUUUCUUUAAAUCUCUUUUGAAAGUUGCACACCCGAAACCCUAUCCAAUAUAAUGUGUAAGGUGGGAGUUACUUAGUGACUCAGCAGGUUAGUGAUCCAGUGUUGUCACUGCUUUGGCACAGGUUUGAUCCCUGGCCCAAAACUUACACAGGCAUGGCCAAAAAAAAAAAAAAAAAAAAAGAUACGUAAGGUAUUACACUCUGUUAACUACGUUGUUAUGGGGAGAAUCUCAUGAAAGACUGCCUAGAUCAAUUUUUUAAGUGAUUUUUAUUUUUUGCAUUAGAGCUGAUUUACAGUAUUCUGUCAAUUUUCUACUGUACAGAAAGGUGACCCAGUCACACAUACGUAUAUACAUUCUUUUUCUCACAUUAUCCUCCAUCAUAAUGACUAGAUAUAGUUCCCAGUGCUAUACAGCAGGAUCUCAUUGCUUAUCCAUUCCAAAGGCAAUAGUUUGCAUCUAUUAACCCCAAAUUCCCAGUCCAUCCCACUCCCUCCCCCUACCCCUUGGCAACCACAAGUCU